GAUGAACGCUAGCGGCAGGCUUAACACAUGCAAGUCGAGGGGCAGCACGAUGUAGCAAUACAUUGGUGGCGACCGGCGCACGGGUGCGUAACACGUAUGGAAUCUGCCUUGUACUGGGAGAUAGCCCGGAGAAAUCCGGAUUAAUAUCCCAUAAUAGCUUGGGUGGCAUCACUCGGGUUUGAAAGCUCCGGCGGUACAAGAUGACCAUGCGCACGAUUAGCUAGUUGGUGAGGUAACGGCUCACCAAGGCUACGAUCGUUAGGGGGCCUGAGAGGGUUAUCCCCCACACUGGUACUGAGACACGGACCAGACUCCUACGGGAGGCAGCAGUGAGGAAUAUUGCGCAAUGGAGGCAACUCUGACGCAGCCAUGCCGCGUGCAGGAAGAAGGCGCUACGCGUUGUAAACUGACUUUUAACCGGGAAGAAACCCCAGGACGUGUCCUGGGUUGACGGUACCGGAGGAAUAAGCACCGGCUAACUUCGUGCCAGCACGG
rnacentral:rRNA from 1 species